GGGAGGGGAAUUAAAAGAAGAAAUUGGGGGGCUUUGGACAGGUUUAGUCGUGGUUAAAGCUACUGAUCUUUCAGCACUUGCUGUGUGCAGUAUUUUCAUGAUUUCAAUUAAUCCUCACAAGUGCGGGCCAGCCGGGGUUAGGACAUGAAGCACCUUGACCUUGGUGAGAAGCAGGGAAUUUGAGCCCUGGCCAUCUGCCUCCAGAGCUGUGAAUCGCUGCUCUGAACCAGGGGGCAGGGAGCUGACUGGGACACUGGCCUCCGUGGGGGUCCUGGUAGCCACCUCAGGGGUUCUUGCCCCAGUCUGGGGGGCCGUGGUUGCUGAGGGAGGUGGAGGCAGAACCAGGGCCAGCAGGGAAGGCCCGGACACCACCACUGCUGGCUCCCUACCGGGCUCCGCGUUCUCUCCUGACUGUCCCCUGCACUAACCUGACCGUGACAAACCCUCCCUGCUCUACCACCACCAGGAUAAAGCCCAGCCCCUUACCUGGUUUUUGGGACCCUGCCUACUAGGCAGUCUGCCCCCUUCUCACCCCCCCCCCCCCCAGCUUCUCCUCAUGCUCUGCUAGGAGAUUCCAUCAAUGUCCAUGUCUAGCCACCUUCCCUUUGCCUCAGUGCCCAGGGCACAGCCUUCCCUGGGCCCGGCCCUGGCUGUCUCACUUGAAAGCAUGUUGGUGGGUCUGUUUCCCCAUCAGCUCAAAGCUGUUCGAGGGCCAGGCUCUCUCACUCAUAGUUGUGCGCUAGGGACCACAUGGUAGGUGCCUGGCAUGGGACUGGGAGGUCCUGGAAUCCUGUUGGGAUUGAUUUCUGUGAUCUUGGACACCUCUACCAUUCCUGGUCACCUCCAGAGUCCCAGUUCCCCAGGAAUGUAAAAGACCCUCAACAACACUCCCCCCCCCACCCCCCCGGCCGUCCCACGCCAAGGUCAAAGGGAAGUGUUGCCCCAGGGUCAGGGCCUGGCAGAUGGCUCUGGCCUGAGGACUGAGGUGGCAGGGACCCCACCUCUUUUAGGUCUGGCAGCUUUCUGAGCACAGUGUCCAUUGAAACCAUGUGUGACAGGCUUCCCGGGAAGACCAGCCUUGAUGCAGAGAGGAGUCGGGUGCCAUGAGUUGACCGAUAAUCCUGUUGGGUGUUAAUGGUGAAGGCCUGGGCUUGCAAGAGGCCCAUGGGCCGAUGUAGAGCUCAAGCGGGGCAGUGUGGAUAGAAGGCAGGUGCAAGCAGUCAGAUGGUGCGAGGUGCUGGGCCUGGAAUCAGGAAUGGCCCCUGGGGCAGGGGGAGCCUGUGAGCUUUCAAGGCAGCACCUGCACUGAGCCUUAGAGAAGGUCUGGGGAGAGACGCAGGCAGCAGCAGCUCCUGGCGAAGGAACAAGCCAGAGCAGGAGUAGGGGAGAUGGAGAAGCCUGGGAACCGCCCCCCAGUCUGUGUUCCGGCUGAAGGAUGGCCGUGCCAAGGACUUCUUUGUCAAGAGCAGAGCUAAAAGGAGACUUCAUCAAAUCACCAAUGUUGGCUCCACCUUGGCAAAUGCGUGGCCUCCUUUUAUUUGGUCUUUCUCAUUCCCAUUUCCUUAUUUCAUCGCAUGUAUCUUUUAUAUAUAACCUUCAAGUUCUUUUUUGGGGUGUUAAAAAUAACCUUUUGGGGGGUGAUGAUGAAAGUGUUCUAAAAUUAGAUUAUGUGAUGGUCCCACAACUUUGUAAACACACUAAAGAUUGUUGAGCUGUUCAGCGCCCUCCCUCCCCCGCCCCCUCCAGCCCAGGAAGGCUCCACGCCUAAGGCGGGAUUGAACUCAGGACCUUGAGAUCAAGACCUGAGCUGAGAGAUCAGAGAUCAAGACCUGAGCUGAGAGAUCAAGAGUCUGAUGCCCAACCUUCUGAGCGACCCAGGCGCCCCAAGAUGCUCACUUUAAAACGGAUUACCUGACUGGCAUGUAAAUCAUCUCAAUAAAGUUAUUUGUAACCAC